UUGAAGUGCUAGUUUAAUUUGUUUGCAUCAUUAAAAGCAGAAAACUAAUCAGUUACUAAAAAGAGACAUGGGUUGUUUGUAGCCCUAAUGUUUUUUAGGUUGGCAAGUUUAAACUUGGUGUCUACAGCUGGACUCAGUCCCAGACCCCAACACAGCCCAGUAACCUUUGAUGGCUUGAUUGUUUUGCUGCUACAGAGGAAGUAAGAAGUGGAAAGAAAAAGUGACUGGACAAAGCUCUUUACAAGCGACCCACAUCAUGCUAGAAAAUGGCUACUGACUGGAACAAAAUGACACUGGAAGGAGCUUAUGUUCUUUCAAGGAUAAAGCGGGAUCCUAUUGAGCGGGCCCUUAGGAGUGUCGCUUCCAGCCACACAGCAAACUACCCCAUCCCCGACAAACACCAAGCGAACCUGAGCUCUCCCCCUGUCCCAAUGCACUAGACACUUACAGCUCCAGCACUGGGCAAAGCACUCUGCUGCAGCUUUUGCAGCUGGGCUGCCCUGCCUCACUUGGAUGCAUCAACAAAGCUUGAAGUGGCCACUCUAAUCUGGUUAAGUAUUGCCUGGUUGGGGAGAAAUUAGCUGAAUUCUUUUAACUUUUCAAACAAACAUAAUACAGUCAAACUCGCUGGAUGAGAAUCAAUUACGUGAACUGAAAAUAGGUUUCGGGUGGGGGUGUCAUUUCAUUUCUGGAAAUCAUCUAAUACUUCUAUUCAAUGACAUAUGCCUGUAGUGUCACAUCGAAGCCAUAUUUCAGUCCGGUGAAACGAGUGAAACAGAACGAUAUCUGUUGAAACACUGCCGGAAUAUGAUUCACAAAUCUUUUUCACCCAGUGGUGAUGCUGUUGUUAUCAGCAUUACUUCAAAAAAUAUUUAUUUCCUGCCUAAAUGCAUAAGAUAUUGUAAAGAGUAAUUUAAUAAUUUCAGGGUAACUGCAUCGUUUCUCAAGUUUGAUUUGUUGAAUAGGUGACUGCAAACUGUUUCCCCUGUUGUUUUAGUCUAUUAAAUUUAAUAACCUCCAAUAAAUAAGUCAAUAAAUCAUCUUAUUCAACAUACUUAUUGCUGUAAGAGACAGAUUGUGAAUUUGUUUUUUCCUAAAAUACAAAUUGGUUUGAGGCCACCAGUAUAAAUGGUUCAAUGGAUGUCUGUCUGUUUUAUGGAUACUUUAGCUGUGUUGAAUAUAUGAUAUACUACCAUCUUAAAUCUUUGAUGUAGCCAUGCGACCCAUUUAGCAGUUCUCAUUAAAAUCCUCAUUAAA